GAUGAAGAACGCAGUGAAAUGCGAUAAGUAGUGUGAAUUGCAGAAUUCAGUGAAUCAUCGAAUCUUUGAACGCACAUUGCGGCCAUAGGUAUUCCUUUGGCCAUGCCUGUUCGAGCGUCAUUUACACCCUCAAGCCUAGCUUGGUGUUGGUCGCCUGUCCCGCCGUUUUCGCGCGCGGACUCGCCUCAAAGUCAUUGGCGGCGGUCGUGCCGGCCCCCUCGCGCAGCACAUUUGCGCUUCUCGGAGGCCCGGCGGAUCCGCGCUCCAGCAAGACCUUUCACGACUUGACCUCGGAUCAGGUAGGGAUACCCGCUGAACUUAAGCAUAUCAAUAAGCGGAGGA
rnacentral:misc_RNA from 1 species